CAUAAUAGCUAUUAUCAUAGAUGAUUUUGUAGUUCAUAUAUAUAUAUAUAUAUAUAUAUAUAUAUGUCUAUUUGCGUAUAUUUUGCCUCUCCUUUCAGCUGCAAAGGCAUAGAUCUGAUGAUCUGUUUCUUGAUGGCUUUGUUCUGGAGGCAUAUAUUUAAUCUCCAAAAUUUUAGGGGUUUAGUUUAAACCAGAGCUGGUGUUGUUGCUACUCUGGUCUCCCCUUAUUUGGUACAUUUCCGUUGGAAAAUUAAUUUAUUUUGCUUUUUCUGUAGUAGCUUUGUGCUCCGUUUGGUUGCCUAGAUAUUGCAUGAAAUUGAUAUUUAUACUAAUUUAUAUAUAAACAGAGUUGAUUUGGCUUUGUUUUAGAUCCCCAUUAAUUUUCUAAGUCUUCUUGGCAACCAUAAAAAGCAUAAGAUUAAUAUGGAUCAUUUGUCUCAAGUUUGAUUGCAUUGGAUAUAAUAAUUUUGAUUAAUGGUGGUGUUGGGACAGGCAAAAGAGACACUUGCUGCCGCAUGAAUUUUGAUUAUGUUUUUAUUAUUCAAGGUUGUGACAUUUAGGCAAAGCAUGUGGUAAAGAUCGCAUUGUUACUUUUUUUAUUUUAUUUUAUUUGUUUAUUUAUUUUUUAUAAAUAGAGAAAUGCUAGGUGCGGUUGUUUGGCGACUAUGGUAGCAGCCUGUUGCACAACUUAAUGGAAGCUUUACACUACUUGAGUAUUUUAUUGUAAACAAAAAAUAAAUUGAGAUGCCCUUUCAUGUUGUUCUUAGAAUCCUUAGUGAGAAAUUAUUAGGUGGUUUGAGAUCAUAUGGUGUUGACCGCCAAUCACAAGAUACACCAAAUGUGUUAGUAUCUUGUGACUGUCUAGAACUACAUGAUUCCAGACUACUUAAUAAUUUCUUGAUUAAUUAUGGUGAAUUUAAAACCCUUAUUAUUGGAUUUGGUUUGAAGGUAGAAUUUAGAGAUGAAGGGAAGAGUGAGACGAAGAAUGAAAGUGUGUUGAGCUAUCCUUUACAACAUUAGUAAUGGUGUCUGUAUGGUAGAUUUAUCAAAUUCAAAGGGCAUGUCAAUUUUGAGCUUUUGAUUUAUUCAUAAACUCAAAGUAAGGGGCUUGUGUUCUUAACUGGUGCUGCGAGCGUGAUGCCACCGUUGUUAAGCGACUGUGGCUAGCAUUUCUCUCAUUUAUAAUGCAAAAUUCUAUGAACUUCUUUGCCUUAUUCUUAGAUUUGUGCUUUCCAUAUUUUGGAUUUUAAUUCUUCUUAAGCAUAAGCCUGUUUGAUAUGUUAGUCUCAAAGUCACUAAUUAAACUGCUUGAAAAUCCUCGGAAUUCUUUUAAGCUGAAUCAUUUUGUGUUUAUCCAUUAUCCAUUUAUUCUUAAUGUUGUGAUACAAUGUCUCUUCUUUCUGCUGCAUGGACAUAUAUACAAGUAGGAUCAAUUUAUUGAUUGCUUUGUUCUGAAGUCAUAUAUUAGUCUCAUCAAAAGUCUUAUUUGGAGUUUGUGACCUUCCUUUUGUGGCUCCCCUUUGUUAUUUUUUUAAUAGAUAUAUCUCUCUUUCUAUUUUUCUGUUUUUAUUAGAUAAAUAGUGAUAAUUUUUAGUAAAAACAUUUCUCUGUGUUUCAUUCUAUUCAUAGUUGCUGAAAAGUUGGAGGAAUAUGAGAUGUUAAAGCUUAAAGCUUUAGUAUGUCAAGUUAUCCUUAGUUUUGGAUAAUGUGAUGCUAGAUGUUGGUUUUGGAGGAUAUAAUGCUAAAUAUUAGUUUGGAGAAUAUACUGGUAAAUGAUUAUGUUUACAGAAAGUGCUUACAACCUCCCCACCUUCAAAGAAGAGGGUAGGGAUUCUAGUCCUAUUAAGUCUUCCUAAAACAUAACAAUUACAAUUGCAGUAAUUAUUAUUCGUGGUUAGAUAAAUUUUCCUUUUAAAUAACAAUUAGGAAAAUUUAUUUAUUUAAAAAAAAAAGGAAAAGGAAAUUAAAAGAAUUUGAAGAGUAAAAGAGAAAAGUAAUAUAAAGUUGAUAAUAAUUUUAAAAUUUAAUUUUUUUUUUUAGGAAGGGCAUUAUUUAGAAAUUUUAGUAUACAUUUAAAAAAAAAUUAAAAAAAAAAUACCUUAUAUGUUGUAUGGGGCCAGACUACAAUUAUUCCGCCCUGGUUGUGUAUAUAAAGACAAAUUAGACAAACAAUAUUUUAUAAAUUUAAGGGAACAAGGCUAUUUAUUUAUUCAAUUUGGGUAUUUACAUUUUUAAGAAGUAAACAACAUAAAUUAUUGUGGUCUUCACAUAAUAUUGUCUCUAGUAGUUUACUUUUCUUUAUCUUUGAUUAUUAAGUUUAUUUUUCAGUUUUAAAAAGUAUAUUCAUUUAAUUUCUACUUUUGUGAUCUAAUUUUCUAUUUAUUUGGAGAGUGAAAUAAUGUGAGAUUCAUGUUGCGUAUGGUAGGAAAUAAGUUUUUAUCGUUUGGUACAGGAUAAAUUGAAAAGAAAAGUUGAAGAGAGAAUAAUGGAAAAAUAUAAAUACAGUAUAUUAGUUAAAAUGUUUGAUUUUUUUUCUUAAAAUAGUAAUACAUGAAUAAAAAAUAUAUAUUUUUUUUUCUAUUUCCAAAGUGUCACCACCUCUCUUUACUCUCAUUAUUUCCAACUUCAAGCAGUAGGUUGACGCAUACCCAGAACGCAGCCGGUAUUUUUGGUCAACAAUUGCAACACCCUAGAAUGCAUUCGGUCAACCAUUUUAAAGCCCUAGAAUGCAUUGAUACUCAUAAAGUGUUAAGCAACUUCAUACUGGGAAAUGCUAGGCGCCGUUGUUUGGUGGCUAUGGUAGCAACUCACCACACAAGUGAAUGGAAGUUUUACUUACACUAUUUGAGUCUUUAUUGUAAACAAAAAAAUUAAACUGAGAUGCCCUUUCAUGUUGUUCUUAGUAUCCUUAGUAAGAAAUUAUUAAGCUAGUUUGGGACCAUAUGGUCCUUACCAAUCACAUGAUGCACCAAAUGUGUCAGCAUUUUGUGAUUAGUCAGGACUACAAGAUUUCGGACUACCUAAUAAUUUUUAUAUCCUCAAUCUUUAUAUAUAAAACUUUCUCGAGCUCUACACCUGGCAUUCAAUGUGAUAAAUUAACUGUAAUUCUACCAUGAAAAAUGAUUCUUAGGCCUAUUUGUUAGGCCAAUUUGUCUAACUCAAGGAUUCUUAUCCCUUUGAAAUAGUGGAUAGGACCCACAUUUGAGUUUAUUCACCAUAUAACCCCCUUAACCUGACAAUAAUCAACUUUACAGCAUACAAGAAAAGUGCUAAAAUACUCUAACAAAAAUAAUAAUAAAAUUAAUGUUUUACAUAAUUCUAUUAUUAACAAUGGGCUAAUGGCAUAGAGUGGAUGGAUAAUAAAUCUAAUGAGUAUUGAAUCCAUCAGUACACAAAUAUUUCAGGAAUAAUGACCUUUUUAAUGUGUAUUCUUGACACUUGACUAAUGGCACGCACUCCUACAUUAAAAGAAAUUAUCAUAAUUCCUGAAAAUCACAUUAAAUGCCAUGAGUCUUCUACACUAUUUUCUCUUUGAUAGUAUCUUAUAAAAAUAAUACUUGAUUGAUUAUUGUAAGUUUAAAAACCUGUUAUUGGAUUUGGUUGGAAGGUAGAAUUUAGAGAAACAGUGAAACACAAUGAAAGUCUGUUGAGCUAUCCUUUACAACAUUAAUUAUGGUUGCAGUAUAUUUAAUUUAUCAGAUUGAAAUGACAUGUCAAUUUUGAACUUUUGUUUUAUUCAUAAACUCAAAGUAAGGUGCUUGUGUUCUUUACUUGUGUUGCGAGAAGAAUAUUAUGCUAAAUGAUUGUGUUUAAUGCUUAUCACCAUACUAGUGUUUUGGUAAGUUUCUGUUUUGUGUGGUUGCUUGGUUUGGAAACAUUUGUUUUCAUAAUAUAAGGUAAUAAUUUUUGGAAAACAUUGUCUUCAUGAAUCUAUCUUAGUAGCCUACUAUACUCUGAGUUGGUUAUGACAAUUGUGGAAAUAAUGCGAUAACUAAGGUACAUGAACUUCACAUUUUCUUUCACCUUUCUUUUCUAUCCCAUUCCCAAUCAAAAUGAACUUCUAUUUAUGUUUUAAGAAUUUAUGUUACAUGGACUCAUAUAGGUGUGAAGGGUGCCGGGAUGGGUUUAAUCCAUAUUAUGCAAGGAGACAUUGCUUUUGCUAAUUCGAAUUGAAGGAUGAUAUAAAAUCGGUCUAUUUUCGGCAUAAUAUCCAUAGUUAGCGCAUUCAUCAUAGUUAGCAGCUCCAGCUCCGUAUCAAGGUCAUGAUCGAUAUCGUCAAUAUCGUCACUAGCAUCAAUAUCGUCACUAUCCUCAAUAUUGAUAUCAUCAAUAAGAAAACCUUUAGGCUUGUUAUCCAGGAACUUGUUCAGAGAUACCGUAAUGAAAGGAGGAGUUUGUCGCUAGGGAUUUGACCAAAUAGGAUCGUCCAGUUCCUAUAGAACCUAUCACUAAAAUACCUUUUUUUUUUUGUCAUUCCAAGUAAUAGAAAUUGUUUUUUGAACUUGUUGCAUUCAUUUUUCUAAGCACUAGCUCGACUUAUACCCAAGCAUUAUCACUAAAAUACCUUUUUUUUUUUCUCAUUCCAAGUAAUAGAAAUUGUUUUUUGAACUUGUUGCACUCAUUUUUCUAAGCACUAGCUCGACUUAUACCCAAGCAUUCUCCUAGCAGAUGGUAUUUUCGGUCUCUAAAAUGCAUUUUCAAGCGGCGGUAUAUGUAGCUCGGCAGUAUAUGUAGCUCCGCUGUUCUUGUCAGGGGAGUAAUAACUUCUUUCCGGGAUGUAAUAAUAAUGAUAAUCUCUAUUUAUUGUUAGAGAUGAUUUUGUGGUUCUUAUAUAUAUAUAUGUGUCUGUGCGUUUGUAUUUGUA